UGACCUCAGGUGAUCCACCCACCUACACCUUCCAAAGUGCUGGGAUUACAGGCGUGAGCCACACUCUAUCUUUUUUUUUUUUUUUUUUUUUAAUUCUUCAGCUAAAACAGUGGAAAAGGUGAUUUAUUAUAUGGUUGUUACACUCGGCCACAAAUAAACACAGAAAUAGUCCAGAAUGUCACAGUAGCAUGCAGUCCCACAACUUGUACCAGCAUCCCCAGCGUCUGGCAUUCCAUGUUUCUGCUCCUGUGGCCUCCACGGUGCAACAAGCUAGCGGUUUACUUGGACCUCUGCCUCAUCUUUCUUCUUUUGCGCUUCAGCCUGCGCAUUCGCUUCUUCCUCCACUUGGCUCUCAUGGCACAGAGGUUUCCAAAAAAAAUGGCGCUAAGGCCGAGAGCCACACUCUAUCUUUUUUUAAGAGACAAGAUCUCACUUUGUUGCCCAGGCUGGGGUGCCAUCAUAGCUCACUGCAGCCUCGAAC
rnacentral:lncRNA from 10 species